rnacentral:rRNA from 1 species
AGCCGCGGUAAAACGUAGGUGGCAAGCGUUGUCCGGAAUUACUGGGUGUAAAGGGAGCGCAGGCGGGUGUGCAAGUUAAAUGUGAAAUCUAUGGGCUCAACCCAUAAAUUGCGUUUAAGACUGCACAUCUUGAGUGGAGCAGAGGCAAGCGGAAUUCCCGGUGUAGCGGUGGAAUGCGUAGAUAUCGGGAGGAACAUCGGUGGCGAAGGCGGCUUGCUGGGCUUUUACUGACGCUGAGGCUCGAAAGCGUGGGUAGCAAACAGGAUUAGAUACCCUGGUAGUCCACGCCGUAAACGAUGAUUACUAGGUAUAGGGGGACUGACCCCCUCUGUGCCGCAGCAAACGCAUUAAGUAAUCCACCUGGGGAGUACGGCCGCAAGGUUAAAACUCAAAGGAAUUGACGGGGGCCCGCACAAGCAGUGGAGUAUGUGGUUUAAUUCGAAGCAACGCGAAGAACCUUACCAAGCCUUGACAUCUCCUGCAUAGCCAAGAGAUUGGUGAAGCCCUUCGGGGCAGGAAGACAGGUGGUGCAUGGCC